GCUGUGUCGUACAUCCUCGAGUUCCCGAGGAUCUGCAACUAAAAUCAUUACUUGACACUUGUCAACUGUUAUGAAUAGACACAGUGACAAUACAUUUGCCUCUAUUUGGGUAAAUUCGAAUUUUUCAAGUGAAAAAGUGUAGAAGAGCAAUUUUUAUUGCUUAAUUCAUACAAAUAUAUUGGUUAAUGAGGAAGAACAAAUUUUACCCAAAUUCCUAAAUCAUCUGCAAAAGUGAGCAGAAUUUGGCAGAUUGUUUCUAACGAAACUAAUCAUGGAUAUAAUAAUCAUUACUUUCAAAACCAACAGAGAAUAAUGAUGUGGCCUAUUGUAAAAGAAUAUGAGCAGGUAUUCAUACAAAUAGUCAACAGGGUCCGGAUUGCUGUGAUGAUAGCUAACCUCCGAUAGGAGAUGCAUUGCAAGAAGAAGAUUCAUACAAAUAUGGCGAUAGAGAGCUUGAAUAAAUAUCCGAAAUCUAAUAAAAUAGAAGGAAAAGAAAAUAAGAGUUGACAAGCUAUCAGAUUUGUUGGAAGAAAUAGUUGAUGAGAAGACGUGGAUGAAAAUUAUGAGAAAUGAAAGACCUAACUAUCAACAAAAAAUUUCUGUAGAAUCUCAUAAAAAAGCAGAAACAAUGAAAGACUUAAUAGAGGAGGUCUGUAUAUGAUGAUAAAUAUUAUAAUACACAAUUUAUAUCAUCAUGUGAUCCAUAUUGUGGUUAAGGAUAUUGUAGUCAUCAUUAAAUAUGCUUGCACAAAUAUAAAUGUGAGUGUUCCACUAAUAGCAUCAAAGUUAUAUUGUGCAAGCAUUUGCAUGCUGGUACUAUGUUCGGACAAAGAAUAAAUUCUGUUUAAGAUGACGACAACAAUUUAAAAAUUAAUGAGCCAUAAACAAGUUAACUAUAAUGAAGAUGUGGGACAUUUUAUAGAUGAAACCAUUUCUGGUUCACAAAAUUUCACAUCUAUAAGCAAUGACACAGAAAAUGAUUUGCUGAAAUGUGUAAAACAAUUGAAGACUCUCAAUGCAGAAGGAAAGAGGAGAGUAUUUGCAACUAUCAAUGGAAAAUUUUCCAAACAUAGGGUCAAUGGCAAGAAGAACUAACAUCUAAGAAGUGAAAAUUGAGAAGCAAAUCUAUUUCCCAAGAAAAAAAAUGAAUACAGAGACUACUAGAACUUCAUAGCAAAUAAUUUAGAACAUUGAAAUGAGAUUGACAAAAAAAUCGAGGUAAUAAAUUCUAACUGAACCAGCAUGUUACACAUAUAAGAGACGUACAAUGUUCAAAUGUGGAUAGAAGAACCAGUCAAUAUCAAAAUAAAAUAUGACAUACAUCCUUUACAUAAAUUGAUGAAAUUAAUAUAUUAUAUAAUAAUAUGUAUAAUAUAAUUAUUGAUAAUUUUGAACAACUGUAAGUUUUCUUACAAUAAACUACUUCCUGUAUUGA